ensembl:antisense Gm15494 predicted gene 15494
GUCGCAGCUCCUCCUGCGUCGCCCUGAGUUAAGAAAAAGGGGAGACCGAGGCUGGGGCAACCGAUGGGAUCAGGAAGGGGGGGGGCGGUCAAACGAAGGCUGGGCAUUUCAUAAUGAGAAACUGGAUACGAAGAUGGAGAAACCAAAGACCAAGACAGGCUAAAGUAGAAGACUGGAGCGGAGCGGUCACCUUGUCUGGGAGGACGCCCUUGGAUUGGUUGAGUGUGAUGACAUUUGAUCUGGUAGCUGACACGCCUGUCAACCUCGGCCGCAUUCCAUCUCCAGAAACUACGUUUCCCAGCAUUA